ensembl:lncRNA
AUGAGGAAGGCAUCCCACAGUCAAAUGCUGCAGGGUCCAGUCCCAGUUAUAGUCAUCGUAGGUGCAGAAGGCAUCAGUGCAGGCAAUCAGUUGUUGGUAUGUGUCCCUCGCCAACACCAUGCCCAUGUUGUGCUCUGUGGACUUCCAUGUCUUCAGUUCCACCUUGUCAGCUCGGCCGGCAAAGCUGCCGCGCACAGUGGCAUAAGUGCCCAAGGACAGCAACUGGCACUCAGGGCAGUCCCGCUGUCUCAAGGCCCAGAGGCGUUGCAGGACAUGGUAGAAGUCAGGUGCCAGGUAGUGGUCCUCCUCCAAGAAGACCACCAAGCCUGGGUGUUCCCGCAGAGCGCGCACCCUCUCCCACACAAAGUGAAGCUUCCACCACCAGUGGUGUUUGGUUUGGGUGAAACUAGACUCACGGUAAUGGCCAAAGGCAUCGGGGUAAUGAGCGUUGAGGCAGCCCGAGCGCAGCGCCGCCGCCUGGCCCACGUCGCGCGGACAAUCGCGUGGGUCAGUGCCUGGGAAUUCGCCCGGAUAGAGCUGCAAGCUGAACGGGAAGAAAAUCUGCAGGACGGCGCAGAAGUCCACGGAGGCGGCCAGGGCAUUCAACCCGGCGGACCACACGUCGUGGCUCAGCACGAGGAGCACUUUUUCCACGCCGGGCGCGCGUCGCAGCGAGUCCAACAGGAUGCGGAGGUGCUCGGCGCGCUCAUGCACCUGCACCACCAGCGCCACGGCCACCUCUCCGGGGCCGCCCCCGCCAGGCCGCCAGCUCGCCUCGUUGCGAACCGGCUGGUCGAAGUUGAGUCGGUAGACCAGAGACCGGUAAUGCAGGGUGCGAUUCAGCCCCGUCGGCGCCUCUUCCCGCGAUAUCGAAGAAGAAUUGGAGCGGCGUCCGUGAUUAACUGGAAGGCUGCUGCUGCUGUUGCUAACCGCCGGCGGCAACGGUCGAUCUCCUGGGAGCGGCGGCGGAGACGCGGCGUCUUCCCGUUUGUUGUUGUGGUUGCUGCUGCCGCUGCCGCUGGUGCCGCCGGCCUCGCUCGUCCCUCCCCAAAGCACCAAGGCACAGGCGGCGGCGCCCAAGACCAGCAGCAGCGCCACCACUUUGCGCUUGUAGAUGCGGAAUCUCAUGGUCCGGGAGGUUUCCGGUUCUCCUGUGCCUUCCUCGUUCCUCACUUGCGGGGGCUUCGAGCCCCUUGGCGCGCAUCAGCGGAACAACCGAGCGCCCCGGGGUUCUCGGGUGCCCGACUGGUCGGGCCGCCGCCGCCGCGCGCGCAUCUUCUCCUUCGCUUUCUUGGCCGGAGACGAAACAGGCAGCGCGGCCGGAUGAAGAAUGAGCGAGGGAAGGAAAGAAAGAAGGAAGGAAGGAAGGAAGGAAGGAGGGAGGGACCCGAGCGGCUCCGCCCCGGCCACGCUACCUCCGACGGGGCUGCAGCAACCCCAGGACCUCCCUCUCCAGGCGCGGCUUCCGGAUCCGGACUCCCCGCUUCGUUCGCUGGAGAAGCCCGUCAUCAGGCCCCGCAAGGUUUCCAAAGUGCGGCUGGAGGCGCUCUUGGAGAAAGGAGUUCGCUUCGCACCGACCUUCCCGCAAUGAAUCUGAUUGGUAGGAGGCAAAAAGAGCAACUGUCCUGCUGUCCAAAUUUCCUGGCCUUUUCAAGAACUUGGAAAGCACAGAAGAGAAUAUUUUGCAGCUCAGGAUUGAACGGUGAGGUUCCUUCGUGCUCUCUGAGCUUGGUUAGUUUCUUGCAGACGGUUCCCGAGUUGGGUGAUGAAACCGCUGCAAAACAACCACCAAGCUCAGAAAACACUAAAGAGCCCCAGACGUCGUUUCCGGAGACAAUGGGCAACCGAUGCUCUCCAGUCAGGCUUUCUAACUAUCCUAGCUUGUUGGCCAUACCGUACCCGUAUAGAUAA